AAUUAUUAGAGUCGGACCAAAAAACAAAGGAAUCGGAGGAGCUAGGAUUCGCUGCAGCGAUGCCAUCCGUACUAUUCCAUCCCCACCCCCAACCGCUCACUCCACCCUUAUCCCGUCACCGCCAUCCGCCCUUGUGCACCCAGAAGAGUCCAACGGCCUGGUUUUUAUCGGCACUGCCAACGGGAUUUAUCUCUUUGCGGCCCACGACUGGCUCCACCAUCCGGUGCAUGGCAAAUCCAAGGAGAGUGAAGAUGGUGGCCAAGCAGAUACGAAGAGAGCUCUCCGAUAUGCUACUCACUGACACAGUCUUGCAGUACGCUAUUCUCCCAGAAGCUUCUUUAGGAGCCGACCGCUACCUUUCCUCCCUCACCACCAUUAGCGAUGUUGAAGUCUCCGGAGAUUUGCAGGUGGUUAAAGUGUAUGUAUCUGUGUUUGGCGAUGAAAGAGGGAAGGAAGUAGCCAUUGCUGGUUUGAAGUCAAAAGCCAAGUAUGUCAGAAGUGAGUUGGGGAGGCGGAUGAAGUUGCGAAUGACUCCUGAGAUUCGAUUUAUAGAAGAUGAGUCAUUAGAGAGAGGAAGCAGGGUAAUUGCAAUAUUAGACAAGAUAAAGAAUGAGAAAAAUAAUGAAGAGAGCCAAGAUGUAGAGCAGUCCGAUUCAUCCAAUGUGUCUCAAGAUGACAGAGAGUGGGAAGGCGAUGACCCUGAUGAAGACAUCAUAUAUGUUAACUGAAUCCUCAACACUAGACCUUGCCGAAAGGAGGGGUAUGGCUCUUAAUGUUCACAGGGUGAAGGCCUUAGUCAUAAUGCUAACCCGGACACAAGCAAGUUUUUGCAUGCUACCCAUCAUCUGGAUCGAAUAUGAAGUACUUGACGUCAACCGUGGCAUCCCAUGUGAAGUUACGCAGAAUUUUGUCUUGCUGCCCUUCUAGAAUAGUUCGUGUUCUAUUAUCUUUUUGAUUAACUUGUUUUACAAUGAGUGCAAGCACUACAUUACCAUGUGGUAAGUUUAGAGCACCUAAAAGUUGAGAAUGGCCACAGAGUGAAUUGUAAUUAUCAAUUUAUCAUCAAAACCCAAGUCCGCUUUAUAUGUUCACUACUGCAUUCAAGGGAGGAGAAAUGGAACUA